rnacentral:rRNA from 1 species
AGUGAACGCUGGCGGUAGACCUAACACAUGCAAGUCGAACGGCAGCACAGUAAGAGCUUGCUCUUACGGGUGGCGAGUGGCGGACGGGUGAGGAAUACAUCGGAAUCUACUUUUUCGUGGGGGAUAACGUAGGGAAACUUACGCUAAUACCGCAUACGACCUACGGGUGGAAGCAGGGGAUCUUCGGACCUUGCGCGAUUGAAUGAGCCGAUGUCGGAUUAGCUAGUUGGCGGGGUAAAGGCCCACCAAGGCGACGAUCCGUAGCUGGUCUGAGAGGAUGAUCAGCCACACUGGAACUGAGACACGGUCCAGACUCCUACGGGAGGCAGCAGUGGGGAAUAUUGGACAAUGGGCGCAAGCCUGAUCCAGCCAUACCGCGUGGGUGAAGAGGGCCUUCGGGUUGUAAAGCCCUUUUGUUGGGAAAGAAAAGCAGCAGGUUAAUACCCCGCUGUUCUGACGGUACCCAAAGAAUAAGCACCGGCUAACUUCGUG